CUUAAAUCAUAAAUCUUACGAAGUAUGUAUACUGUAUUCUAUAAUGUUGUUGUAUUAUAUUUUUUAUGUUAUUGUUUUCAUUAUUUUGUUUUAUCAUUACCAAACCUGAUUUGCCCGAGAAAAUCUAGAAAAGUUUACGUGUAUCUCCGAUUAAAUAAACCUUCGUAAAAAUAUGUUGACCACUGUCGUGAAGAUUUGAACGGGUUGUGUGAUUGUUUGUUUUGAAUAAAGGCCAGACUUUAUAUAAGAAUGUCGACGUAAUUCUGACAGUUGAGUCAGAUAUGUAACAAAAGAGCUCCUUGCCAAAAGUCCAACUUUCUCCUCCACUCAUCGACAUGUCUGACAAUGAAAAUGCAAAAUGUUAUUUCGCAAUGCCCCGACUGUGGCUUCUGCUGUGAUGCGCUACUGUCACCUGGUGGUAAUUCAACUGGACUGCAGUUGUCGGUAGAACACGCCCUGGCAAGCUAAUGUCAUUUAUUACUACGCAAUGUAAAUAUAAAAUGUUUGAUGUUUGGAUUAGGGUUUCAAAUUGGGAUUUUAAACUAGGAUUAGGAUUUAAAGUGGUUUUUCAGAAUAGGGCACAGAUUUCAAAUUGGGGGUUUGAAACUCGGCGUAGGGUUUCAAAAUACAAUGUUAAACUACGGUUAAGAUUUCACUGUAGGCUUUCAAAAUAGAAGGUUAGGGUUUCAAAGUUGGGUUUUAACCUCGGUGAGAUUCGGUUAGCGUUUCUCACUACAGUUAGGGCUUCAAACUAGGAUUGGGGUUUCAAGGUGUUAGGGUUAGGUUCUUAAAUAGUUUUUUUUUGGGGGGGGGGAUUAUCUAACUUUUGUUUCAUAUUCAUUUAAAUCUGUGUGCCCAUUACUCUCAACAUUUGAGGAGUGAAUGCAGUUACGGAGACAACACAGUCAAGUGCAGAGUAAUUCAUUGUCACAUAGCAAAGAAAAUAAAACAGCACCGAGUGGUUUAAAUAAUUAUAAUGUACAUCCACCUUCCCAAAUCCCCUCACUCACACUUCCAGAUGACUACAAA